UGAGGAAUAUUGGUCAAUGGGCGAGAGCCUGAACCAGCCAAGUAGCGUGCAGGAUGACGGCCCUAUGGGUUGUAAACUGCUUUUAUAUGGGAAUAAAGUGAGGGACGUGUCCCUUAUUGCAUGUACCAUACGAAUAAGGACCGGCUAAUUCCGUGCCAGCAGCCGCGGUAAUACGGAAGGUCCAGGCGUUAUCCGGAUUUAUUGGGUUUAAAGGGAGCGUAGGCCGUUUGGUAAGCGUGUUGUGAAAUGUAGGAGCUCAACUUCUAGAUUGCAGCGCGAACUGUCAGACUUGAGUGCGCACAACGUAGGCGGAAUUCAUGGUGUAGCGAUGAAAUGCUUAGAUAUCAUGAAGAACUCCGAUUGCGAAGGCAGCUUACGGGAGCGCAACUGACGCUGAAGCUCGAAGGUGCGGGUAUCGAACAGG
rnacentral:rRNA from 1 species